UGAUUCUUCUAUCAAGUUCUAGUUUCUGCUGUUCAGUUUGAUAUUCUGAUAAUCACAGACUCAAGAGGGAACGGAACUGCAGGACUGUCUUCUUUGAUGCCUAUUAAAGUCGCCUCUGUGAAAAGGAACUAGAAAGUACUAAGGUGAUUCUGAGCAUCCUUGUAGCUUCUGCAGAACUGGAAAAUGAACAGCAAAAUGCAACUGUUCAUUGGACAAUCUGAGUGAGUGAAAUAUCCCCCAAUCCUCACCAAGAAC
rnacentral:lncRNA from 1 species